CAGCAGCCGCGGUAAUACGUAGGGUGCAAGCGUUAAUCGGAAUUACUGGGCGUAAAGCGUGCGCAGGCGGUUUGUUAAGACAGAUGUGAAACCCCCGGGCUCAACCUGGGAACUGCAUUUGUGACUGGCAGGCUAGAGUAUGGCAGAGGGGGGUGGAAUUCCGCGUGUAGCAGUGAAAUGCGUAGAUAUGCGGAGGAACACCGAUGGCGAAGGCAGCCCCCUGGGCCAAUACUGACGCUCAUGCACGAAAGCGUGGGGAGCAAACAGGAUUAGAUACCCCUGUAGUCCCUGUCUCUUAUAC
rnacentral:rRNA from 1 species